GGUGGGAGGGGAGGAGCGCGGCGCGGCGGCGGCGGCAGCGGGGCCGGCCAGGGCAGGGAGGCAAGGAAGUUGUACCCGUCAGCACCUGCUGAGGGCUUCGCUGAUCAAACUGACAGGAACCAACCACUUUUAAAAUGGAAGCUAAAAUAAUCGGAAAGCCUUCUGAGAGUGAAGCAAGCUAAACUUGGUGUGCUUGUCCUUACUGGAUUCAGGGGCACCCUUUCAGAUAAAAACAUGGACCUGAUUGGCAUCAUCCUGUAUCCAUGGAAACGUUAGCUCUGCAAGAUUGGCAUUAUCCUGUAGUAGUGUCACAGCCUGCAGUCGUUUAAUGCUGCUUCUUGUGAGGCCAGGAUUCCACGCCCAAGUGCAUUUAGUAGGAAAAUACUUCUAAGCCAGAAUUCAGCCCAUUUUAGGACCAGAGGCAAGUAAUUUAGCUCGCUUCCAGCUGAUGGAAGAUUAAGGAAAAGGCAAUACUGAAUCUGUAGACCUUCGCUGAAUCUCUUGACUCAUUGCUACAUCUGAUACUGGUCCCCUCUGAAGGAAACUGAGCUGACUGAGAUUGGGCAGUCUUCAUCUGGCACAAGAAGAGUGGCAAGACUCCUUAUUUCUCCUGAUCUCUGCUUAUGAAAGAAGGGCCAAGGAAACUCAUUCCUAGAGUGUAAGCUACCAAGAAAAGACUACCAUCACUGAAUCAGAUAUCCUGGAGUUCUUAUAUUUUGGAACCGUGUAACCAUGCUAACUACCCUGUUGUCAUCAUGAAAAAGGCCAGAAAAGAAGUCUAGCUGCUGCAGUGGCUCAGUUAAUGCUCCAAGGGCAAUGCCUCUGGAUCUUCUGCAUUGGGCUCUACUCUUUGUUAAACAGCUCAGCUCACGUACAUCCACCUUCUUCCUUCCCCUUCCACUCUCCGUUUGUCUGUGCUCAGAGGUACCCACUACUGGAAAAUCAAACCUUUAAAGUAUGGACAAGAACAGGAGAAAACCAUCCUCCAGUUCCCAGUAGGAGCUUUCAAACAGAAAGAACUUUCAUGCUUUUUGUAAUGGGCUAAAGGUUUUUGUCAUUGAAAAAGGAAUUUUGGACCAAACCAGGGAAUUUUCUUCCUUGUCAGAAGGUUUAGCUUUCAUGAAAGAGCAUGGAAGAGGAAAGAAAUGACAGUAUAAGAUUGAGAAUCCAGGUGCUCUUGGCAGGUGAGCGUCAUAAGCAUUGUGGCUCUGGUUCAAGCCAACUGCAGCCUGGAAAAUGAAAUAUAAUCUAAAAAUAUCAUAAAAAUGGAAAUUUUCAGCGUUAAUCUCAUGUCGUCACGUCAAACCAGGCUGUACCUUUGGGUCCUAGCCAUGAAAAAGGGGAGACCAGCUCUCAGCAGAACUGUUGCAAGGAUGAUUACAAAGAAAGGAAGGAAGGAGUUGUGGGUUAGAGCUGUCCUAGGACAGAUAACAGAGUUACUGGGGAGUGAAGAUAUGAUCACCCCUGCAGUCCCAUGCAGAUCCGUCAGCAAAAACAGCCACCUCCUGGAUAUGCCUCUUUGGGACCUCCAGCAGCUUCUGAGGAAGGAAGGCCAAGCAGGGCAUGCUUUGCUAAUAAGUGUCUGGGGCCUGUGUGCCAGUGUCAUGGAUGUGAAGUGGAAGAGCUAAUGGGACUUUUUUCCCCCACCCCCCUCAUUCAAUUAUGCAAAAUUCUUUAAGUUAUACAGGUUGUACAUCAGGGCUGAAGAAGAGCAUACAAAGUUUGCAAAUAUGCAUUAACAAAUUAUCAUGCUGCCAAAGUCAUUUGUAUUUGUAACACAUCUAAUGCUCUUAAGCAGUGCUGUGGGUGAACCUGAAAGGCAGAAGUAGUAUUUUUAUGCUAAUAUGCUAUAAAAUAUCUUAGCAAAAUAAGCAAGUCCCUCUGCAGUGGGUGUUUAUUUUCCUUGAUACGAUUUAGAAGAUUCUCAUGUGACAAUCUUUUGUGUUGUAUUUGUAAAAUGAUCUCUAUGAGAAUAGCACACUAUUAUAAUCCAUUACAAUAUAAGUUGCUUGAGCAGCAGAAAGCUCCUAAUACAGUGCUUCACAAUGGAGCACUUAAACAGUUUAAUACAGCUUUCAUGUACAGUAUUUUAAAGAAUCGCUACAAGCCAUGUUUGCAGUGCUUUCGGGAAAGCAGGGUAAUAUUGAGGAGAACCUCCUUACCAGAGAGCUUCCUGUCACCCGAACGAUCAUGUUGCUGUUCCAGCAAAUCCAGGUGGGAACAUUUUCAAGGAAAUGUCGAAUACUUCUCCUUUUGCCCAGAAACAGCACAGCUAUUUUUAGGGAUAUUUUUCAUUGGCCUGCAGCACACUUCAGUUGCUGUAGCAUAAUGGAGAGUGGCAUAUUGUAUGUUACGUUGAAUUGAGAAAAUGACUGUGUUGCAUCAUGUCUGUAUUUGGCACUGAAGGAUGCUGAGAUAUUCAUAUUUCCUCAUACUUGUGCCAAUUUGUAUGCAACACAGAUUUAUCAUAAAUAGAAUGUAGGAUCUGGGAUGUAUCCUGUACUCGUUUACCCCUCUAUCAAUCAGGUGUAACACCUUGAUAGCAAAACUUUUUCAAGGGAGCCUGGAAUCAGUCCCAGUGUAUUCUGGUCAUACUCUGUUUACGGUGCUUAAAAAGAAGACACUGUUGUUGUAGAAAGAGCUGGUAUUGUAACAUAUACCUUAUGGGCUCUACUUAUAUAGACUCAUGAGGCUCAAAAAUAUAAAUAUCCAAAAAUUAUCCGUUCUUUUUAGAGCAUUUUCUAAUUAAUGGGACACGUGAAGACCCUGCAUGGGAACUCACUUGAGAGAAUGCAAAAGGCCCCACAGGCACCCCAGGAUGAUCAGGUUCAGCUUCCCAGGGAAAAAGGCUCUCAGGUAGGCAGUUAAGGCUCCAUGGUCACCAAGCAGCUCUGGCCCCAAAGUAAGCUACAGUGGCACGGGGACUUCGCAGCCGUUGCCCUUCGUCCCCGCCAUCCCCGGGCACCGCCUCUGCGGGGGCGUGCGUUUGGCGGAGGAUCCGACUCCUAGGGAGAGCAGACGGACAGCUGCACCCGGUCGCUGGACCGAGAUGGGGUCGGGUAAGCUGCUGCACAAUCACUCCAUGGUGUUUUCCUCCUCCAGUAUUGUAUCGCAUUUAGUGAGAAAAAUAAAAAAUAAGCUUUGGGCUCUCUGUUUUAAUCUAAAUAACUGUUAUUCCUACAACUAGGAUAAUAUUAAAUCAACUUUACAUCACUGAUGGAAAUGUGAUUACAGACAAUUAUGCAACUGUCUUUGGAGACAGAGAAGCUGCAGGUUUUUUCAAUACCUGCUCUGUGAGCGAGAAGGCUCCUCACUCAGUGAGCUACCUCAGCCAGUCGGAGGCGGGUCCCCAGGCUGUGUUUGCAUGGCAAGUCAGCGUAGGCGUUGCGUUACUGUUCAACCCUGAAGACUGUCAUUGGCCAAGUAAUGGGGACAUCAGGAGCUAAUAUUGUAACUGCCUGUCAUUAGAAACAGAAGAUUUUAGUUUUCAAGACUAUCAUUAUAUCAACCUUUAGGUACAUGUCUCUCCAUCCCCUCAGAAAACAGCACAUCUUUUAUGUGCAGAUCUCAGCAGUAACUAAGAAAAGACUUUCUGACUUAAAUUAGAAAGAUCAGCUAUACUCUGUUUGGCAAACUGAACUGCACAUUAAAGUCACUUUUGAUUUAGUCGUUUUAAGAGAUCUGUCCCUAUCACAACUGUUUCCUUUAGUCCUUGAUAGUGGGUUAAAGACGUGCUUUUUUUUUUUUACAUCUUAUUUAGGUAAAAUAGCAAAUAAAAAUAUUUCCUAACGUUCUUUUCUAAACUACCUCUUAAACAAUUGGAGAAAAUGAGCUGAAUGAAUUGAUUUAGGCAGUUCAAUCUGCUGCAUUAGACAAUAUUUUAAAAGGCUCUAAGAGCAUCUGUGUUGGGAGAAAAUAGGGCAGAGGCCCCUCAUCCACAGCAAGCUACUUAUUAGAAAGCGGGGGGCUCCAUCAACAUCAGGGAGACCUUUGCCACCGACUUCAGUCAGGUUAGGAUUUUAGCCUGUAUGAACUAUCAGUAGACUGAUAUUUAACCCUAUAUUCUCAGCUGCUGGUGAGAUACGUUCCAGCUCAUUAGACGAGCACAUUUAUCCUGUGGACUCAAGCAAUGACGGGGAUUGAAGGUCCUCACAUAGUUCCUAUUGCUGCGGAGCUCGGUGAGCAAAGGGGACCCGCCAGGAGCUGUUUGCAGCAGGGUCUUAAGCAGCUGCUUCCACAAUGUUUCCAGUCCCUGAUGACACCAGAAUAAGGGUGAAAAGGAUGAAGAGAAACAUCAGCAGCACCUGGAAUUAAAUUUAGUGUUUUUAACUGAACCAGUGUUCCCUUCUCUUUGCUUUGCACCUUGCAAUACAUCUGAAACAGCUAUAUAUUUGAUGCUGCUCUGUAAUAUUACUCAGUGUCUGAAGUUAGAGAGUGACGUCCUAAAGAAUGAGAUGUCGACUAGAACAGAAUUAUCACAGUAAUUAUUGGUUGCUCUUGUUGUCUUUUUGUAGAAUAUUCCUUUCAUUUAUUUUUAACUGAGUGGAUAUCGGGAAUCCUUAUAAUUAUUCUGAAGAUCAAACUCUGCUCUCGGAUGCUCAUAACUCAGUAUUUGGCCUUUUGAAACUGUGCCAAACAGUUUAAUUUGUAAUUACUCACUUUAUUUAUUGGAACUGUCACUAUAUCAGAAGGAACUGUGCUUUCUAUAUGCAGUCUAGAUACUCCUACAGGAGUCCUUCUAGACUGCACAGGUAUUUGCUGUCCACGCUGAAAAAAGUUGCUACCUUAUUAAUAUUGCAAACCUAAAAAUAAGUACUUGAAUACUUUUAUACUGUGCCAUAACUGAGUCCAGUCACACACAACGUCAAGUGUUUUCUAACUUAAUAUUUGGGAAUUCAGCCAAAAAGCUGUGUUUUUCUGCCAGAAGUAAAGUAGCACAUCAAGAAUAUUUCAGUACUCAACAGCAUUCUCAUUAAAAGAACAGAGCUCUUAACAAGUUUUGCAUUAUUUUUUCUCUCUCUAGAUAAUUCAGGUGUUAUCUAAUCUAAAAGGCUGAGAUCUGCAUAUAGUUUAAAUGCAUUUCAUGCAAACAGAAACUAAUUGCAUAACUAAUUAUUUUUAAUCAUUAACCAGCUUACAUCGUACUAGGCUCAUUGAUUUUUAAGACAUUACUAAUACUGUGUUUGCCAAAUUCAGCUUAAUACAGUCAUGCUGUUAAGUCCUUGGAACAGUACAAAGCAGCAGAAGGUGAGUUUGAUUCCACAUUUAUACAUGAAUCUUCCUUAGUAAAAGAAGGUAUGUAAAAUACACCAAAUAGGGCCGAUACGCAGUAGAAUAUGUUAGCAAAUGCCCCCUUGCAGUGGGAUUCCACGUGACGCAGUGAACUAUACUCUGAACCUUAUGUGAGAUUACAGUACAAUUGCAGACUUACUAUUUUCUCCCUAUAAGGAGUUCAAUUAGUUUCUAUUUUUCAAAGCUGAACUCUCAAAAAUCCUCAAUAAUAUGUUGACAUUGAAAUCAGUUAUUGACUUUAACAGCAGAAGUAGAGUAAGACUCUCAAAACUUAAAACUCUCAUGGUCUAAUGCUUCUAAAAAGCCCCUGUAUACAUACACAAAAUGUGUUUCUCAGCCUAAAUAGUAGGGCAUUUUUUUCUCCUUUUUCUUUAUUCGGUCAGAAUUUCCAAGGAUAUCUACUUAUGUUUUCCAAGACAAAUCUACUUAUUUGUAUCUGUAUAAUAGCUAAAUAGUAUUUAUUUAGUCUUAAAUCAGGCUUUCAAAGCAUCAUAUAUACAAUAAGGAACCCAUACAACAUUCUUCUAAGGUUGGUAAAAAGUAGUAUUAACAUCAUUUUACACAGCAGGAAACUGAGGCAGAAAUUAUGCAGUGACUUAAACAGGCACAGCAAAAUAGAAAAUUCCAGGCUUGCCAGUCCUAAGAGUUCUACAGUAUAGGGUGUCUCUCUAGUAUUAAGUUCCAAGUUUUUGCUGUCACAGUAAAAUAUGCAGAAACAAAUUUUUAAAUCCUUAGUGUAUUGCUUUACAGGUCAUGCACAUGGUUAGACAAUUUACUGGUUACUUCAUAUGGUGCUCUAAGAACAUUCAAAAUAGGUGACAAUAGCCUUUGAAUAGUAUUUAAUACAUUUCAAUUAAUGGCCUCUUGAUCUUAUAAGAAACCGGUUCACAGGUAUAUACAGAUUGCUGCAAAAGUACUUGCUGAAAUUGUAGAACAAACAAUCCAGAACAAGACAAUGAAUAGUAGCAGGUUGUCCUGAAGAGACACAUGGUGGAUUCAUGAGAAACAAGUAAAGGAAUCUGUGCUUCUACUGCUUCAAAAAUUAGUUAUAUCCAUGUCUGCUUACUUGUGGAAGACAGUAAAGGACACAGGCUGAGUGUUUAUAUUGCAUAGGAAAACAAUAAACAAUCCUUCUGUAAAAGAAAAAAAUGAAGCAAAUACUUCCACUAUCUCCUAACUUUAAAUUCAUUUAAAAAGCAAUGUGGUGAUGUGAAUAUAAAUCAGUGGUAAAAUCAUGGAACGCAAUCAACACAGUUAUGUUCCUCAAAAGCUCCAAUGAAGAAGGGGACAUGUGAUUCUAAUGCCUUUUCUAGAUUAGAAGUAAAAAUACAUCUGAAUUAUCUUAAAAUGUUGAUGAUAUCUUUUAUCACAAAUGGAUGUUUAAGACCAUUUAUAUUAUAUUCAUGUAUUGUAAGGGGGUUUAGGACUACAGCUAUUAAUUGCAAGGACAUUAUUUCUGAAUCAGGAGAUCUUUGAAUCACAACCUGUUGGAGAUUGGAAGAACAUUCAGGGAAACCCUAACCACGUACUCAUCUUUUCUGAUAGCCUGUCUGGAGACAUCUGUUUCCUGUCACUGAUGGGAGUAGGCAAUGGGCUAGGUGAGCUGGUACAGUCAUUCCUGCUUGUGUUUUGAAGUUCUUAUGUUGGCAUAAAAUAAA